CCUACGGGGGGCUGCAGUGAGGAAUAUUGGACAAUGGAUGGAAAUCUGAUCCAGCCAUGCCGCGUGCAGGAAGACGGCCCUAUGGGUUGUAAACUGCUUUUGUAUGGGAGCAAUAAGGUCUAUGCGUAGACUGAUGAGAGUACCAUACGAAUAAGCAUCGGCUAACUCCGUGCCAGCAGCCGCGGUAAUACGGGGGAUGCAAGCGUUAUCCGGAUUUAUUGGGUUUAAAGGGUGCGUAGGCGGUUUGAUAAGUCAGCGGUGAAAUAUUUCAGCUUAACUGAAAGGGUGCCGUUGAUACUGUCAGGCUUGAAUAUGGUUGCUGUGGGUGGAAUGUGUGGUGUAGCGGUGAAAUGCUUAGAUAUCACACAGAAUAUCGAUUGCGAAGGCAGCUCACAAAGCCAUUAUUGACGCUGAUGCACGAAAGUGUGGGGAUCAAACAGGAUUAGAUACCCCGGUAGUC
rnacentral:rRNA from 1 species